rnacentral:rRNA from 1 species
CAGAUUGAACGCUGGCGGCAGGCUUAACACAUGCAAGUCGAGCGGAGAUGAGGUGCUUGCACCUUAUCUUAGCGGCGGACGGGUGAGUAAUGCUUAGGAAUCUGCCUAUUAGUGGGGGACAACAUUCCGAAAGGGAUGCUAAUACCGCAUACGUCCUACGGGAGAAAGCAGGGGAUCUUCGGACCUUGCGCUAAUAGAUGAGCCUAAGUCGGAUUAGCUAGUUGGUGGGGUAAAGGCCUACCAAGGCGACGAUCUGUAGCGGGUCUGAGAGGAUGAUCCGCCACACUGGGACUGAGACACGGCCCAGACUCCUACGGGAGGCAGCAGUGGGGAAUAUUGGACAAUGGGGGGAACCCUGAUCCAGCCAUGCCGCGUGUGUGAAGAAGGCCUUAUGGUUGUAAAGCACUUUAAGCGAGGAGGAGGCUACUGAGACUAAUACUCUUGGAUAGUGGACGUUACUCGCAGAAUAAGCACCGGCUAACUCUGUGCCAGCAGCCGCGGUAAUACAGAGGGUGCGAGCGUUAAUCGGAUUUACUGGGCGUAAAGCGUGCGUAGGCGGCUUUUUAAGUCGGAUGUGAAAUCCCCGAGCUUAACUUGGGAAUUGCAUUCGAUACUGGAAGCUAGAGUAU